rnacentral:rRNA from 1 species
UUAUGGGCGUAAGCGUGCGCAGGUGGUUGUGUAAGACUGCUGUUAAAGAGCCUAGCUUAACUAGAGAACAGCCUUGGAGACUGCAUAGCUAGAGUGCGUUCGAGGGGGAUGGAAUUCCUGGUGUAGCGGUGAAAUGCGUAGAUAUGCGGAAGAACACCGGUGGCGAAGGCGCUCUCCUGGGCCUGAACUGACACUGAUGGACGAAAGCUUGGGGAGCGAAUGGGAUUAGAUACCCCGGUAGUCCUAGCCCUAAACGAUGGAUACUGGGUGUUGCGAGGAUUUCCUCUCGCAGUGCCGGAGCCAACGCGUUAAUUAUCCCCUCUGGAGAGUACGCACACGGGUGUGAAUCUCAAAAGAUUUGAGGGGGGCCCGCACAAGCGGUGGAAUAUGUGGUUUUAUUCUAUGCCACGCGAAAAAUUUUACCCCCUUUUGAUGUGUCGCGAACCCUGAAGAUAUUUAGAGUGUGCCUUCGAGAGCGCGAACACAGGUGGUGCAUGGCUGUCGUCAGCUCGUGUCGUGAGAUGUUGGGUUAAGUCCCGCAACGAGCGCAACCCUCGUUUUUAGUUGCCAGCAUUGAGUUGGGCACUCUAGAGAGACUGUGACGUGACAAACCGGAGGUGAGGUAUGACAUGACGUCAAGUCAGCCUGCCCCUUACGUCUUGCGCUCCACAUAUACUACAAUGCUACAGAAGAGCUGGGCAGCGAGCGUGGGGGACGCUAAGCACAUCACACGAAGAGUCGGUAGCUCAGUAUCAGUAUCGCAGCGAUGUCAACUC